rnacentral:rRNA from 1 species
AUGUCGCUGCCGACGCAGUGCCCCUACUGCCGCUCCCCCGCGCCGGCGCGGUGCGCCACCACGCAGCCGCCGCUCUCCCGCCCCGUCUCCGAGUGCUCCUCCUGCGCCCGCCUCGUCCUCGAGCGCCACCUCCACACCCACCCCUUCUUCCCCCUCCUCCCCUCCCUCCACCCGCUCCCCCUCGUCACCCCCGACCUCGCCGCCGCCGCCCCCGCGCCCUCCUCCCCGCCCGCCAACGACGACGACGACCCCUUCCUCCCCGCCGGCUUCGUCUCCGCCUUCUCGGCCUUCUCCCUCGAGCGCCACCCCGUCCUCGCCCGCUCCGCCUCCGCCUUCUCCGGCCAGCUCGCCGAGCUCGAGCGCGCGCUCGCCGUCGACGCCGCCGCCUCCUCCACCCCGGACCCCGCGGGCCCCAUGGUCUCCGUCGACAGCCUCCGCGCCUACCUCCAGAUCGUGGACGUCGCCUCCAUCCUCAGGCUCGACCGGGACAUCGCCGACCACGCCUUCGACCUCUUCAAGGAGUGCUCCACCGCCACCUGCCUCAGGAACCGCAGCGUCGAGGCGCUGGCCACCGCCGCGCUCGUGCAGGCCAUCCGCGAGGCACGGGAGCCCAGGACGCUGCAGGAAAUUUCCACAGCUAGCAAUCUUCCUCAGAAAGAGAUAGGAAAAUACAUCAAAAUACUAGGCGAAUCUCUUAAACUGAGCCAACCUCUUAACAGCAAUUCAAUAGCAGUUCACAUGCCUCGGUUUUGCAACCUCCUCCAGCUCAAUAAAUCAGCCCAGGAACUUGCAGCCCACAUUGGUGAGGUGGUUGUUAAUAAAUGCUUCUGCACGAGGCGAAACCCUAUAAGCAUAUCUGCUGCUGCUAUCUACCUUGCAUGUCAGCUUGAAGACAAGCGCAAGACCCAGGCAGAGAUCUGUAAGGUUACAGGCCUUACAGAGGUGACCCUACGCAAAGUGUAUAAAGAGCUGUUGGAAAAUUGGGACGAUCUGCUACCCCCUAACUACACACCAGCUACACCACCGGAGAAAGCUUUCCCGAUGACAAACAUAUAUUCAGCGCGUUCAUCAAGCGGAAAAGAUCUUUAUCAAGACAAGUUGCUGGACAACGUGAAGCAAAAAAGCUCUGAAGCUGCAGAGCCUGAUCACAUGGUAAUCGUAAGAGAGGAUGAAGAUAAGAAAACCACUCCUCCUGGUUGGCCUCCAAAGAAUGAGCCCCGUGACUUGAACCAGGCAGGCUGGCAGCCGAAUGUCCCGUUUUCGGCGUCUCCAAAAUUGGACCGUGACAAUGUGGAGACGAACAUUCGUGGGUUUAACCUCAACGAGGAAUCAUGCCCAAUGGAUUGCGAAAAGCCAGACGUCUCAAUGAAGCCGCCCUUUGCUGAUCGAUGGCCGACUGAACCAAAGGUGCUUCCAUCCCCUCCCAAUAGGCAGCCUCUGCCAUGGCAGCUUAAGCAAGCAGCGCCGGCAACCGGGUCAUCAUCUUAUCCGAGGAGUCGUGAGACGCAGCUGGGCCUGGGCAUGGACUUUCUGUCUGGGCGUGGGAAAAGAAGCGCCGGGGAUGGCGGCGGCGAUGGCCGUGAUAAAGAGGGCAAGUGA